rnacentral:rRNA from 1 species
CCUACGGGUGGCAGCAGUGAGGAAUAUUGGUCAAUGGACGAGAGUCUGAACCAGCCAAGUAGCGUGAAGGAUGACUGCCCUACGGGUUGUAAACUUCUUUUAUAAGGGAAUAAAAUGUUCCACGUGUGGGAUUUUGUAUGUACCUUAUGAAUAAGGAUCGGCUAACUCCGUGCCAGCAGCCGCGGUAAUACGGAGGAUCCGAGCGUUAUCCGGAUUUAUUGGGUUUAAAGGGAGCGUAGAUGGGUUGUUAAGUCAGUUGUGAAAGUUUGCGGCUCAACCGUAAAAUUGCAGUUGAAACUGGCAGUCUUGAGUACAGUAGAGGUGGGCGGAAUUCGUGGUGUAGCGGUGAAAUGCUUAGAUAUCACGAAGAACUCCGAUUGCGAAGGCAGUUCACUAGACUGCAACUGACACUGAGGCUCGAAAGUGUGGGUAUCAAACAGGAUUAGAUACCCGGGUAGUC